GACGAACGCUGGCGGCGUGCCUAAUACAUGCAAGUAGAACGCAGUUGCGAACGGGUGAGUAACGCGUAGGUAACUGCCUCAUAGCGGGGGAUAACUAUUGGAAACGAUAGCUAAUACCGCAUACUGUGAGAUGUACCUUCGUUGUAUUAGCUAGUUGGUGAGGUAAAGGCUCACCAAGGCGACGCUACAUAGCCGACCUGAGAGGGUGAUCGGCCAAAAUGGGAACGGGAAAAGGGCCAGACUCCUAAGGGAGGGAGCAGGAGGGAAUCUUCGGCAAUGGACGGAAGUCUGAACGAGCAACGCCGCGUGAGUGAAGAAGGUUUUCGGAGCGUAAAGCUCUGUUGUUAGAGAAGCGGUAACUAAACAGAAAGGAACGGCUAACUACGUGCCAGCCGCCGCGGUAAUAC
rnacentral:rRNA from 1 species